rnacentral:pre_miRNA from 14 species
UUCUCCUCAUCUGUAGUCGCUGAAAGACCUCCGGAGUGGGGAGACCCUCACUCAAGUCUCAGGAUGACGUGAUCCCCCAAAAAGUCACAUAAGACC